rnacentral:rRNA from 1 species
CAGUCAUACCAACGGGAAAUCAACCUUUUGAGCUCGGUCUCGUGGGUUUUGAAGAGUUUCAAAGCCUUCGGAUUCGCGGGAUUGGGAUCUCUCGGUGUACUUUCUCGUACGGUUAGUCAACAUCGGUUUUGAAUGUCAUAAAAUGACUGGAGGAAUGUAGCUUCGAUCUCGUAUUGAAGUGUUAUAGCCUUUGGUAGAUGUGAUGUUUGAGACCGAGGAUUGCAACGGAUACCCUUCAGGGCUAUUCGUCUGAUCUCUGAUACGUUGCCCUGAUGUUGAAAGCUUGCUUAUGAUGUUAGGGUAUUACGGUCAAAAGGUUAGAACGAAUUACA